rnacentral:rRNA from 1 species
UGCCAGCCGCCGCGGUAAUACGGAGGGAGCUAUCGUGGUUCGGAAUUACUGUGCGUAAAGCGCGCGUAGGCGGCUUUGCAAGUAGAGGGUGAAAUCCCGGGGCUUAACCUCGGAACUGCCCCCUAAACUGCAGAGCUAGAAUCCUGGAGAGGUGAGCGGAAUUCCUAGUGUAGAGGUGAAAUUCGUAGAUAUUAGGAAGAACACCAGUGGCGAAGGCGGCUCCAUGGCCAAAGAAGGAAGCGCAUGUGAGCACGUGUGGGUCGCGAACAGGAGUAGAUC